rnacentral:lncRNA from 1 species
AUUUUCUCAGUUUUAAACCAUAAUAAAAAUUAAAUAAAGUUAAAAAGAUCAGAACAGUCUGGAAGUUAACAUUGUUUAUAUUCUUUAUUCAGAAAUAUUUUUAUUUUUUAUUGCAGUUUCAAGGCUAGACCUUGUGAAGGGAAUUCUUUUUCUGCCCCAGGAGUGAUCUUUUGGAUUGGUAAAAUGUGUUUUAUUACCUCUUUUUUCUUUAAAUCUUUGUUGUCUAAACAUCCACACAGAAGUACACUGUCAUCUUAAAAUUGUAGCCAUUUACUUGUGGUCGAGUAAUCCAUUUGCCUUUUACAGUUUUCAUUUUUCCAAAGGGUCCUUUGGCUAGUUUUGUGUUGAUAACUGUAUGAAGACAAAAAAUUUAAUACCACAAAAAAAGCAAAGCCCCCCUUUUCUAGUG